UAUUGUAAAUCCCAUUGAAUUUAUACUUUCCCGGCAUUGAGCCUAAUUAUCACUGCUUCUCCAUAGGUUAAUGCGCUAGACUUUGAGAUUGGGAUCCCGCAGGACGCAAAUCUCGCGGUCCGUUCAUCUUCGGAACACAGUUUAAGAUAUUUUAGAUUUAGUCAGAGAGCUUUCAGUCAGUGUAGUGUAGUGAUGUCCGGUUCUCGAAAUGAAUGAUUAGACUGAACAAAUUCACCAAAUCAAACGGAAUCAUUUGAAACGGUUCUCGUCUCCAAUAAGCAUUAAUCACACUAAAAAAUCCUGGGUUAUUUUUUCUACCCAAGUGCUGGGUUGAGCCAUUUGGGUAAAUUUUUUGGGUUAUUUUCUCAGUCUUGGGUAGUUUUUGGGUAGUUCUAUGUAACCCAACCGCUGGGUUAUUUUCUGGGUCGUUUUCACUGAGAGCUGAAUCAAUGCACCCCCUCCCCCACUCGGACGCAAUAACCCAGCUCAUUGGGUCAAAUUAACUCAGCGCAGGAUCAGCGCUGACGCAGCGCGAGCUGACUGAAUUCGAAGUGGAGGUGGAUGCCACACACACGCUGUAAUAUUUGGAGAAAUAAGACCUGCUCUUGACUGUCCGUGGUGGCAAAUCCACAGCCUUUCGCUGUAGUAGAAUCAACCGUAUCUGAAGAGAGAGCUGAGGAAAUUAAACAAUGUCUAAGAAACAACACAUAGCCCAUCAGCCAGGUGGAACAGUACAUGCGAAAAAUAUGUUUGAGGUCCUCCAUGAGUUUCCUCGGCUAACUACCUCAGGCAUGAUUGCACAGGACUUUCACAUUUUACAUCAAGAUGAAGCCCCAAAACUGUUUGAAAAAUGGCUGGUAUACUGACAGGAUCUUGCUUUUUGCGAAGCGAGAAGCAAAGCUUCCAUGUACAGCUGAAGAAAUGACAGAAGAUGCAAAGGGAAAUCUUCCACUAAAGCGGUUACCUGUUUUGCUACCACCUCCACCCUACAAAAUUGGCAGAAAAACAAUCCGGCCCAGCAAUGAUGAAAGCAAAAAAGCUUUCAUUGACAUUCAGCCUGUUGGAACAAAUAUGGUGGAGUACCUCCAGCAGGCUGAAGCAUCAAGACCUUACCCUUAUGUCCUGUAACUUGAAAAUGGACACAUUACGUCGCAGGCAUUUGUCAUCCUCGCAGGAGAAGCUUUGGAACAAAGCACUCUCAUUGGGACAGUAAAUGUAUAUUUCAAAUCGUUUUAUGUUUUUGAUGUAAACAAAACAGUGUUUCUAUAUUCAGGAGUUUAUUCAUAAUAUUUUUGAGUUGGAGGGAAGUGAAUCCUCAACAGUGAAAUUUUUGCACUGGGCACUACAUUCUUGCAAGUAGAUUAUAAGAGGUUCUUUGAACAAACAGUGGUUCAAGAACACGAGGUAGAAUUUUAGUUUUAUUUGCACAUGAGAUUUUUGUUGUUCUGUUUUUUUUUUGUAUAAACAACUGUUUUAUUGCUUGAGGAAAAGUAUUACUUUAUGUGUACUGAUGAUCAUCCAUUACAUUUUUAUGUAGAAAUGUUUUACUGCCAAGUGACCCAUACUCAGAAUUUGUGCUCUGCAUUUAACCCAUCCAAAGUGCACACGCACCCGGAGCAGUGGGCAGCCAUUUAUGCUGCGGCACCCGGGGAGCAGUUGGGGGUUCGAUGCCUUGCUCAAGGGCACCUAAGUCAAAGGUUUAGAGAGAACUAUACAUGCACUCCCCCCACCCACAAUUCCUGCUGGCCCCGAGACUCAAACUCACAACCCUUUGAUUGUGAGUCUGAUUCUCUAACCACUAGGCCAUGACUUCCCCUUUAUGAAUUCCCAUUAUGAGUUACAGAGGCAAACCAUAAAAAUGAAAGAAAUUGUUUUAAAUACUGUUUAUAAAUGUAAUUAUUUUUUUAGUUUUGUAUGAUCUCUUGAAUUUUUGGUUGAGGUAAAGUGUAAUUACAAAGUGUAAUAUGCUGAAAGAAAAAUAAAGAUAAUACAAUGUUGAUCUGUUUGUUUAUUAUGUGGUAUAUUUAAUGUUAAAAGGAAUAAAACUUACCUUUGAAAAUAUAACCCAUUUAUGAAAUCAAAUUAACCCAUUAUUUUUGUAAAAAUAACCAAUUUUUGGGUAGAAAAAACAACCCAUUUGCUGGGUUAAAAUUAAUAACCCAACUUCUUGGGUUAGUUUAACCCCAUAUGGGUUCUGUCCUAUAUUUACCCAGCAGUUGUGUUAAAAACAACCCAAUUUGGGUUGUUUUUAACCCAGUCUUUUUUAGAGUGAUCCACAAAUGACUUAAGCUGUUAACUUUUUUAAUGUGGCUGACACUCCCUCUGAGUUAAAACAAACCAAUAUCCCGGAGUAAUUCAUUUACUCAAACAGUACACUGACUGAACUGCUGUGAAGAGAGAACUGAAGAUAAACACCGAGCCAAGCCAGAUAACGAACAAAAGACUGACUCGUUCACAAGUCAAGAACCGUUUCUGUUGGACGCGUCCGAUUCUAGAACAAAACUGGUACUUCUGGUGCUUGAUUCUGAACUGAUUCUGUGCUAAUGUUAUGAGUGCGGGUAAACCAAAGGCUUGAAUCAAGGGCAAUCAUCGUUAGGGAUGGAUAUCAUUAAGGUUUUAAUGGUAUUACUACUCUUACCGAUACUGCUUAAUGGUCCGAUACUUUAACGGUAUUCUUAUCGGUACUUUGUUUUGUCUUACUGUGUUACUUUGUGUUGUGUUUAGGCAGUCGAAAACUUUGCAUUUCUCUGUCUGCACAUAAUGCACUUUUGAAAGAUGCUUUGACCGAUUGCUUGUGUUUCCACCCUUACAUGCAAAAAUUGUGUUGCACUUACGACAACCAGCGUUGUCUGCAUCAACUCUAGUGAAGUAUAACCACACUUUGGAAACAUUUUGCUGUCUCCGCCAUCUUAACUCUUUGUAUUAAGCAGGAGUUUUCGUACUGUAAGGGGCCGUCCACAUAUCGCGUCGCUUUCUGAUUUUUCCCCCAAAGCCUUCGGGCACUUGCGCUCCUGAGGAGUCUGCCAUUGCUAAGCAACCAUGACCUGCUCUCUCCAUGAAAACGCGGAAAUUUCAGCAAAGGAUAAAUGGAUUUGCAACACUAAAAACUGCUUGCAAUAGCUCUGCUACUAAAUUACUUUAAAAAUCCACAUACAGCUAUCAGCUGUUCCUUCAUCUUGACUGAGCUUCCAACGUUGUUACAGAAAAGGUGAGGAAGUUACAUGACCUGCGGUGCGCUUGCGGCAUUCUGAAAAGUUGAGAUGUUUUUAACUCGAUGCGGAGCGGACGGGCCUGGAGAGAACGAGCUCGUCGCACCGUGAGCGAGUGGCGACCGCGUCACUUCCAUUAUGAGCGCGCAUAUCGCGUGCCUACAUUUGAAAUGACGAACUUGAGUGCGCAUAAUAUAUGAACGGCCCCUUAUGCGUGUGUGUGCGCGCCGCGCUCGUUAUUGUUGUGUGUGUGUGUGUGACUGACAGACAGCCUCCGCGGCGCACAUGAGAGCUCUCGCAGAUUUCACAGACAAACAUCUUAAUAUGAUCGCACUUUAGAAAUGUGUGGGAAGAUAAAAUGUGCACGAUAACAUUAUUAAGCAAAUCUCUUCGCCAUAGUCACUCUUUAUUAUUAAGCGUGAGUUUUCAUACUGUUAUGUCUGUGCGUGUGCCGCAUUCGUUGUGGUGUGCCCGCGGAGCCUGUCUGUCAGUCACACACCACAACGAGUGGGCGCGCAUGAGAGAUCUCACAGAUCUCACAGACGUCUUAAUAUGAUCGCACAUUAGAAAUGUUUGCUGAGAUAAAAUGUGCACGAUAACAUUAUUAAGCAAAAAUACAUAGCACAUUAAUUUUUUCCCCUCCAGAACCGAAAGAAGAACUGAUGACGUCAGAUCUUACUGAUACUACGGUCUUUCAUAAUUUAGCCCAUUUUAAUACCGGGUUUCGGUACCCAUUUCUAAUCAUCGCCAAUGACGCCAUUACAUGGAGCGCAAAAGAACCGGUGAACCAUUUAAAUGAUUAAUGCUUAUUGGAGAUGCAAACCAUUUCAAACGAUUCAGUUCGAUUUGGUGAACUGGCUCAAGAAGAUCCGGUUACAUCGAGUGAUUCGUUCACGAACCGGAUAUCACAAACUGCAGUGAACGCGCUCACAACAGACACGGAAGAGAAGACAAUGAUGAAUAAAGUUGUAGUUUUUGUUAUUUCUGGACCAAAAUGUAUUUUCGAUGCUUCAACAAAUUCAAACUGGCCCUCUGAUGUCACAUGGACUACUUUGAUGAUGUUUUUUCUUACCUUUCUGGUAAUGGACAGUAGACCGACACACCGCUUCAAUGGAGGAACUGAGAGCUCUCGGACUAAAUCUAAAAUAUCUUAAACUGUGUUCUGAAGAUGAACGGAGGUCUUACGGGUUUGGAACAACAUGAGGCUGAGUUAUUAAUUAUAUAAUUUUCCUUUUUGGGUGAACGAACCCUUUAAGCAAAAAAAAAAAAAAAAAGGUUUUUUUUUUAUUUAUUUUUUUAUAUAAUGUUUAAGUUAAUACUUGUUCAAAACAAUCACUUUAGCAGAGUGUGUACUAUUUUCUUUUUUUUGUGGUAUAUUGCCGAAAAUAACUUGAAUUGCACUUUCAGAUUUGAUUGUACAGGUAAAAGCAAUACAUCAAUCGAAUCUGUAAAGGGUCUACUUGUAUUAAUAUACACGCAUAAGAAAACUUUGUGCAUUUAUAAAAUAAAGAAAACGGAGUGUGCUGUCUGCAGCCUUUGUCUGCAUGAUCUUCAUUUAGAAAUGCUUCAUUAAAAUAAACUGAAAUUCAACAAAUACUUCACAAAGAGAUGUGAGAGAUAUUUCUAUAGAAAUCUUGAUAUGUCUACUUUUAAACUAAGCAAGUUUUAUCGACAACAAAUAUUAAGUAAUCGAGUAAUCCAUAUGAAACUAAUGCCAUGUCCAGUCUUUUACGUCUCUCUUCACUAACUCUAAUGCGACCACGCCCUGCGCUAUAGAUAUAUAAUCAUCCAUGUGUUACACAGCGCGUAAACAUUAUUAAUAUCAUGUUUUUAAAUAUGAUGGUUUCAUUCUUAACAUGGUGAUUAUCGCCAAGGACACCUAACAUAAUAUGGUAUUUAGCAACUGAAUCAAACCAUAUCAUGUCAAAAAAUGGAAAACUCAGCAGUCUAUUAAUUGUUAAUCACAGCGCCUUUAGUCGCUACAGUGGGGGCGCUUUUUAACCCAAAUACACUUACAAAUACAUUUACAUAUUCUUUCGUUAUUUAAAAACUGUUGCUUUAACUAACAAACAAAACUGAAAAUCAUAAAGAAGACCUUUGUCUCAAAAUAUAUGCAUUGUUUUUUUUUAGCUAUUCUCAUUUGCUACUUAAAUCUACAACAUUUAAAAAAUCAAAAAAAAAUAUUAGAUCAAACAAGCACAGAAUCAACUUUGCAGUGCUAAGCAUGAUUGCGUAAGAGAUCAGAAAAAUAACCCACGUGUUUAGUUCUGUUUUUGACAGAAGCACAUAUUGGACAAUUUUAAAAAUAGCAGCAUAAACAAAACUGAUUUCAAAUUUAAUUCAAGCACUUUCAAGGACCUAUGUUAGUUUUCAAGUACUUUCCAGGACUUGAAUCCUUGUCUGAAAUUCAAGUACUUGAAAGUACUUUCAAGAAGGGUGGGAACCCUGGAUUCAGAAUUAGAGACACGCAUCCAAACUU